AUGCAAGUCGAACGGGAUCGCCGAGUUAGCAAUAAUGAGGCGUGAGAGUGGCGGAUUGGGGAGGAACACGUGAGCAACCUGCCCUGGAGAUGGGGAAAACCUCGGGAAACUGAGGCUAAUACCGAAUGUGGCGCUCUGCGGCAUCGCAGGGACGCUGAAGGGGGCCGCAAGGCUCCCGCUCCGGGAUGGGCUCGCGCAUCAUCAGCUGGUUGGCGGGGUAACGGCCCACCAAGGCGUACGAUUAGCUGGUCUGAGAGGAUGGCCAGCCCCACUGGGACUGAGAUACUGCCCAGACUCCUACGGGAGGCUGCAGUCGAGGAUCAUUCGCAAUGGACGGAAGUCUGACGAUGCGACGCUGCGUGGAGGAUGAAGGUCUUCGGAUCGUAAACUCCUGUCAUGAGGGAAAAGGCGAGGGGGCCCCAUACGCUCCUUGGUUGAUGGUUACUCAAGAGGAAGGGACGGCUAACUCUGUGCCACCAGCCGCGGU
rnacentral:rRNA from 1 species